rnacentral:lncRNA from 1 species
GUUUUUCCAAUGUUAUGUCAUUGUUUGCAGGCCGUCAAGGGUGAGCCCCCUGUGAAUAAUUCCAACCUUAAUUGGAUAGAAAUCCAUACAUGGAACUUCACUUGCACGCAGGAUCACAGUACCUUGAAGAAACAAUUACAAAGCAUAGAGAGAGCAGAGACUGAAGUCUUUGCUGCCGUCAGAGUGAUUAGGUGUGGCUGCGGAGGCCAGCUUCCUACCCCCGUCUUCAGCAGGUCCUAAUUUCAUAAAAUGAGGGUCAUCCUCCUUGGGCCCCAGCCUCCCGGGGGACGGACAGGAACGCUGAUAAAACAAUCACCAUAAAGAGUUCCAGACUCACAGCUGAAGAGUGAGUGCAGGAGGCUCCUUCGGUGUCAGCGUGUGUGCUAAGAGCCACUUGCUCCCCCCCCCAUCCACUGCUAGCUCCGCUCUGACAGGGGCACGGUCGAUAAAGUGGAUUCGAGAUAUAAAUGUUUCCCAGAGCCCUCUCCAUCACUUGGAGACACCUGCAUGCCAGGGCACAGUGACACAAAGGGAGGCUCUAUUCUACCAUCUCUGUCACCCCCCUCAGAGCAGCCUGUUUAGAAAGUUAGUCCCAGAAUGUAGAGUGUACAGUUCUGCAAGUACGGCUUGUAAUCUCUGACUGCUUUGGUACUUACUUUUAUCUCUCGCUGAAUUUCCUGAAGUAAUUGAAGAGCUAAAAAAAGUCCUUUGAGGGUAAUAUGCUAGGGAGCCACAGGAGUUAGAUAAAAUGUCUUGAAAACUGAAAAUGUAUACACAGCAUCCCAAGUGGCAGGAGCAGUUUUAUCCAGCAGUACCCUCAUUUUUGGCCAAGCUAGUGGCAUGGCUCUGGGGAUGGGAAUGUAGGUCUGUUGAUUGGUACAUUGGUCGGUCCAUUGGUUGAGAUUAAAAUGUCCCAAUGGAUUGUCAUGAAAUAUGGUACAGACAUUCAUGGUCCACAGAGGAUGUAUCCUAAUAAAUUUGAUGGUCCCCGACUUAUAAUGUAGCACCAUCAGCAAGUAAGAUUUUUCACCUUUUACUAAUAACUUCCACUAAUGACUGAUUUUCUGUCAGAAUCGGCUGUACUAAAUGCCAACAUAUCAAGCUGAUAUUCCAACCUUAUCACUCCAUUUUCAUGACUGUGGUGGAGUAGAGGUAUGGGCUGGCUGAAAGUUUAGCCCUGACAUGAAAAAGCUAUGAGUGUAUCAUAUUAUUCCUAAAAGGAUAUUAGUUGGAAAGCCAGCUCUCCAGAUAAAGAAGAGACUAAACACGUUGGGAUCAUCCACAACUGUAUAAGCUGACAUCAAAUGGAAAUUCUGUUAAACCAAAGUGAACGGAAUUGACUGUAUUAAACAGUGGACACAGCUUCCGAGUCUCAAAAGUGAAACCAGUUCAGAAGUGCCCUAAACCUGCAUUCUUUCUAAUGGCCAGCAGUGGGCGACUCCACUGGUUUCAAAAAGAAGUCCUUUGAUUGAGAAGCUUAUGAGAUAUUGACCCUAC